AGAGUUUGAUCCUGGCUCAGAAUAAACGCUGGCGGCGUGCUUAACACAUGCAAGUCGAGCGAGAAAGGUCUUCGGACUGAGUACAGCGGCAAACGGGUGAGUAACGCGUAGGAAUCUACCUUUUAGUGGAGAAUACUCUCGAGAAAUCGAGCUUAAUACUGCAUAAGUCUUGAAAAAGAGAAAGAUGGCCUCUUUGCUGU
rnacentral:rRNA from 1 species